CCCUGCCAUUUGUACACACCGCCCGUCGCACCUACCGAUUGAAUGAUUCGGUGAAACUUUCAGACCGAAGCGACGACACCCUCGGGUGACUUUGCAUUGGGAAGUUAUUUAAACCUCAUCAUUUAGAGGAAGGUGAAGUCGUAACAAGGUUUC
rnacentral:rRNA from 1 species